rnacentral:rRNA from 1 species
AGAGUUUGAUCCUGGCUCAGAUUGAACGCUGGCGGAAUGCUUUACACAUGCAAGUCGAACGGUAACAGCAGAGCUUGCUCUGGCUGACGAGUGGCGGACGGGUGAGUAACAUAUCGAAACGUAUCCAAUAAUGGGGGAUAACUAGCCGAAAGGUUGGCUAAUACCGCAUACGCCCUGAGGGGGAAAGCUGGGGAUCUUCGGACCUGGCGUUGAUGGAGCGGUCGAUAUCUGAUUAGCUAGUUGGUGGGGUAAAGGCCUACCAAGGCGACGAUCAGUAGCUGGUCUGAGAGGACGACCAGCCACACUGGGACUGAGACACGGCCCAGACUCCUACGGGAGGCAGCAGUGGGGAAUUUUGGACAAUGGGGGCAACCCUGAUCCAGCCAUUCCGCGUGAGUGAAGAAGGCCUUCGGGUUGUAAAGCUCUUUCACAAGAGAAGAAACGAUAUAGUUUAAUAGGCUAUGUUAAUGACGGUAUCUUGAGAAGAAGCACCGGCUAUACGUGCCAGCAGCCGCGGUAAUACGUAGGGUGCAAGCGUUAAUCGGAAUUACUGGGCGUAAAGCGUACGCAGGCUGUUUAGUAAGUCAGAUGUGAAAUCCCCGAGCUCAACUUGGGAACUGCGUUUGAAACUACUAAACUAGAAUAGGUCAGAGGGGGGUAGAAUUCCACGUGUAGCAGUGAAAUGCGUAGAGAUGUGGAGGAAUACCAAUGGCGAAGGCAGCCCCCUGGGAUCAUAUUGACGCUCAUGUACGAAAGCGUGGGGAGCGAACAGGAUUAGAUACCCUGGUAGUCCACGCCCUAAACGAUGUCUACUAGUUGUUGGUGGAGUAAAAUCCAUGAGUAACGUAGCUAACGCGUGAAGUAGACCGCCUGGGGAGUACGGGCGCAAGCUUAAAACUCAAAUGAAUUGACGGGGGCCCGCACAAGCGGUGGAUUAUGUGGAUUAAUUCGAUGCAACGCGAAAAACCCUUACCUGGCCUUGACAUGUACGGAACUCCAGAGAUGGAUUGGUGCCUUCGGGAGCCGUAACACAGGUGCUGCAUGGCUGUCGUCAGCUCGUGUCGUGAGAUGUUGGGUUAAGUCCCGCAACGAGCGCAACCCUUGCCAAUAAUUGCCAUCAUUUAGUUGGGCACUUUAUUGGGACUGCCGGUGACAAACCGGAGGAAGGUGGGGAUGACGUCAAGUCCUCAUGGCCCUUAUGGCCAGGGCUUCACACGUAAUACAAUGGUCGGUACAGAGGGCUGCUAACCCGCGAGGGGGUGCUAAUCUCAGAAAGCCGAUCGUAGUCCGGAUUGUUCUCUGCAACUCGAGAGCAUGAAGUCGGAAUCGCUAGUAAUCGCGGAUCAGAAUGUCGCGGUGAAUACGUUCCCGGGCCUUGUACACACCGCCCGUCACACCAUGGGAGUGGGUUUUACCAGAAGUAGUUAGCCUAACCGUAAGGGGGGCGAUUACCACGGUAGUAUUCAUGACUGGGGUGAAGUCGUAACAAGGUAGGUAUCGGAAGGUGCGGCUGGAUCACCUCCUU